GACGAACGCUGGCGGCGUGCUUAACACAUGCAAGUCGAACGGAAAGGCCCUGCUUUUGUGGGGUGCUCGAGUGGCGAACGGGUGAGUAACACGUGGGUAACCUGCCCUUGACUUUGGGAUAACUUCAGGAAACUGGGGCUAAUACCGGAUAGGAGCUCCUGCUGCAUGGUGGGGGUUGGAAAGUUUCGGCGGUUGGGGAUGGACUCGCGGCUUAUCAGCUUGUUGGUGGGGUAGUGGCUUACCAAGGCUUUGACGGGUAGCCGGCCUGAGAGGGUGACCGGCCACAUUGGGACUGAGAUACGGCCCAGACUCCUACGGGAGGCAGAAGUGGGGAAUAUUGCACAAUGGGCGGAAGCCUGAUGCAGCAACGCCGCGUGCGGUAUGACGGCCUUCGGGUUGUAAACCGCUUUCGCCUGUGACGAAGCGUGAGUGACGGUAAUGGGUAAAGAAGCACCGGCUAACUACGUG
rnacentral:rRNA from 1 species